rnacentral:rRNA from 1 species
AUUGAACGCUGGCGGAAUGCUUUACACAUGCAAGUCGAACGGCAGCACGGGGCAACCUGGUGGCGAGUGGCGAACGGGUGAGUAAUACAUCGGAACGUGCCCAAUCGUGGGGGAUAACGUAGCGAAAGCUACGCUAAUACCGCAUACGCUCUACGGAUGAAAGCGGGGGAACGCAAGACCUCGCGCGAAUGGAGCGGCCGAUGGCAGAUUAGGUAGUUGGUGGGGUAAAGGCUCACCAAGCCGACGAUCUGUAGCUGGUCUGAGAGGACGACCAGCCACACUGGGACUGAGACACGGCCCAGACUCCUACGGGAGGCAGCAGUGGGGAAUUUUGGACAAUGGGCGCAAGCCUGAUCCAGCCAUUCCGCGUGCAGGAUGAAGGCCUUCGGGUUGUAAACUGCUUUUGUGCGGAACGAAAAGGCUCUGGUUAAUACCCGGGGCUCAUGACGGUACCGUAAGAAUAAGCACCGGCUAACUACGUGCCAGCCGCCGCGGUAA